rnacentral:SRP_RNA from 1 species
GCCAGGUGCGGUGGCAUGUGCCUGUAGUCCCAGCUACUCGGGAGGCUGAGGUGGGAGGAUCACUUGAGUCCAGAAGUUCUGGGCUGCAGUGCGCUAUGCCAAUCGGGUGUCCGCACUAAGUUUGGCAUCAAUAUGGUGACCUCCCGGGAGCGGGGGACCACCAGGUUGCCCAAGGAGGGGUGAGCCGGCCCAGGUCAGAAACGGAGCAGGUCAAAACUCCCGUGCUGAUCAGUAGUGGGAUCUCACCGGUCAAUAGCCACAGCACUCCAGCCUGGGCAACACAGCAAGACCCCGUCUCUU